rnacentral:misc_RNA from 1 species
GCAAACUUGGUCAUUUAGAGGAAGUAAAAGUCGUAACAAGGUUUCCGUAGGUGAACCUGCGGAAGGAUCAUUAAUGAAUGAGACCCGGGCAUGUGGAAACACAUGCUGUUAGGGCGCGGGUGUCAAUGGGCUCUUAGUAGCCCAUUGACAUGUCUGAAUCCGUGACUUUGUGUACCUUCUGUUUCCUCGGCGAGUUCGCUCGCCAACGAGGACCAACUCUAAACCUUUUGCAGUAGUAGUACUGUCUGAAAAAAACAUAACUAUUAAAACUUUCAACAACGGAUCUCUUGGUUCUGGCAUCGAUGAAGAACGCAGC